rnacentral:rRNA from 1 species
AGAACGGACGCUGGCGGCAUGCCUAACACAUGCAAGUCGAACGAGACCUUCGGGUCUAGUGGCGCACGGGUGCGUAACGCGUGGGAAUCUGCCCUUGGGUUCGGGAUAACAGUUGGAAACGACUGCUAAUACCGGAUGAUGUCUUCGGACCAAAGAUUUAUCGCCCAAGGAUGAGCCCGCGUAGGAUUAGCUUGUUGGUGAGGUAAGAGCUCACCAAGGCGACGAUCCUUAGCUGGUCUGAGAGGAUGAUCAGCCACACUGGGACUGAGACACGGCCCAGACUCCUACGGGAGGCAGCAGUGGGGAAUAUUGGACAAUGGGCGAAAGCCUGAUCCAGCAAUGCCGCGUGAGUGAUGAAGGCCUUAGGGUUGUAAAGCUCUUUUACCCGGGAUGAUAAUGACAGUACCGGAGAAUAAGCCCGCUAACUCCGUGCCAGCAGCCGC